AGCGUAGACGGUGUGGCAAGUCUGGUGUGAAAGGCAUGGGCUCAACCUGUGGACUGCAUUGGAAACUGUCAUACUUGAGUGCCGGAGGGGUAAGCGGAAUUCCUAGUGUAGCGGUGAAAUGCGUAGAUAUUAGGAGGAACACCAGUGGCGAAGGCGGCUUACUGGACGGUAACUGACGUUGAGGCUCGAAAGCGUGGGGAGCAAACA
rnacentral:rRNA from 1 species